GGGCGGGUAGUCUAGUUUGGCUAUAAGUGCAGCUGGCUAGGAUUCCGGUUUCGGGAACCGGAGGUCAGGGGUUCAAAUCCCUUCCCGCCCACCA
rnacentral:tRNA from 1 species